AUAUAGAGAAAACUACUUUAUUAUUUAGCAACAUUGCAUUGUAAUCCUCCAAGAAGUGACAUGGCUUACUCAAAUUCAUAUAUGUUUCUUGGUUUGGGACUUUUUAUUAUUCUCUCUUCUCAAGUUCUAGCUCAAGUUCCUCUUCUUCUUCCGCCACCUCCACCUCCUCCUCCUACAAUUAUUUGUAAGUCAUGCUAGACUAUAAUGUAUUUUUCUACGUCAAAUGCACAUGUUUAAAAAAAUAUGAUUCAAUACAUGUAUAAAUAUAACACACAUUCUAAUGAACAUAUUAAAAUGAAAUUAAUAUAGUACUUAAGUUCUAGUUCAAUGGGUAAAUGGAAAUAAUGUUAGGUUAAACAUUUUAUCUCAGAUUUUAACCUAAGACUUCAGAGUUGCGUGUGUUAAUUAUGAUGGAAUUUACCAUUUCUUCUAAAAUAAAAUAAAAAUGAUAUUAUUAUAAAACUAGGACCCUCAAAUUAAACUUAUUAAAAUAAUAUUAAUAUUAAACUUAUAACUUUAUAAUUAUUUGGUUUCAAUAUGAUUUUAGUUCCUGAAAUUGUAUUGCUUUUUAUUUUAACUCUUAUAAGUUUUUUUUUAUUUGAAUUAAGUCCUUGCAGAUAUAAAAAAUGUCGUUUUAAAUUCUUAAGUUAGUUUAUGGGAUCACAUGGUACGACACUAUAGGAUCACAUUUGAGCUCAAGGACUAAAUAUAACUUUUUUCAAAUUUGCUGAGAUUAAAAUCAAACAAAAACACUUAGAAGGACUAAAACCAAAAAAUAAUAUAAUUGCAUGAACUAAAAUCAUAUUCAAACCUCAAACUUUUAUUAAGGUAUACGAUUUUUUAAGAAGUCAGAAAAUCAUACUUAUAAGGUUUAUAUAUAAAUUUUUAUUUCACUUUUACAUUUCUUGAUAUAAUGCAUUCUCCAAUAGAUAUUAUAAACACAAUGGAAACCCCAAUGACAACUGUGGAUAGUUAUGCUGGCCUGAUGCAUGAAGUGACACUUCUAGAAGCUGAAGCUGAUCGGAUGACUUUCCGUGCAAAUUUGAUAAAGAAGAAUGUUGCUAAAUCUAUUCAUCAAAGCCGUAAAUUUCUAAAUCAUUUAUUUGAUGAAGAAGAUAAAGUUUCCAAAAGUAAUGAGGAAGAUAAAGUUUCCAUAACUAGUAAGGAAGAUAAAGUUUUCAGAUAUGACGAGGAAGACAAAAUUUCAAAUAAUGAAGAGAAAAAAAAAGUUUUAAAAAAUGAGGAGAAAGAGAAGGUUUUUAAAAGUGACAAGGAAGAUAAAGUUUUCAAAAAUGAUAAUAAAAAUACAAUUACAAAUUAAAAAUAAUGAAAAAAAAUGAAGUUUACCAAUGUGACGAAGAAGAUAAACUUUCUUUAAUAUUUCCCCUGUAUUAAUAGCAUGGAAAAAUUUAUAUCUUAAUUGUAUAAAUAAAAGGGUGAAAGUAGACAUUAUACUUAUAACUUGCCAUAUAUAUACAUCAAAAAUUGAGUUAUAUAUAGUUCAUAUCAAUAUUUGGGUAAUGAUACAUUGCUAUCAGAUGUCAAACAUUACAAACUUACACCUUCAAUACUUCUUUGAAGAAGACAAAUUAAAUUAAAUCAAUCCAAUUGUCGAAUAAUCUUGAAUUAUGUUGAUGAUCUUAUAUACAAAACUUCAAACAAUUUAGAAACUCGUUGGUAAAAGUUUUAGUAAUAGAUAUUGUAACAUUCUGAUUUAAUUCAAACUAUUAUUAACGAAAUUACAAACAUGAAAAAUGUGGAUUAUUAUUAUUAUUUAAAACAAGGCUAAAAUAAAAUAAUUAUUUGAUCUAAACCAAAUAAUAAAUUUUCUUUUAUUGACUUCCACAAUAAAAACAUAGUUAUUACGAUUACAAACAAACAAGUAGUUGUGUAAAUAAAAGAACGAAAUCCUAAAGUCAAGACUCUUGGGUUUUUUCUACCCAAGAGAAAACCUAGUUGGUCACAAUUUUGAAUGUUUGUGAAGAAUUCUCAAGGCUAACACCAGUGUUAAAAAGAAAAAUCAGAGCCUCCAUUUACACUAUUGUUUUACAAUUUUAAUAAUUUCCACAUAAUUUAUAUCUUUUUUUUUUUAUUCAGAUAACUUAUAUACUUUCAUAAAAAUAGACUUUGUGAUUAUCAAAUAUAUAAAUUUUCACUUAAAUCAAAGUUAAUAUUAUAGACCCGGAACAGUUGUAAAAUGGUGAUUAGUUCUACUUUGAUUAGUAAUAAUUUUUUCAUCUCUAAAAAAAUUGUUAAGUUUUUAUGAUUUAAUUUUGGCAAAACAUUGUUUUUAUCAUAUUAUUUCAAGAGUAAAAAUUCUUAUUUAAUUAAAAACUCUAUAAUUUUUUUCAAUAUGAUGUAUUCUUCUUAUAACCUUACCUAUUUACAAAAUUAAUACAUUAAUAAAUUAUUUAUAUCGUAUUCAAAAAAAUUUAAACCCCAUGCAAAACAUGGGUAAUAGUCUAAUAAUAUAUUAAAAUAGACUCCUAAAUACUAUUGUAACACAUCAUCUAAUAUUGUGUCAUUUCAUUCAAUUAUUGUCACCACAACAAAAAUCUGAUGUGCCAUAUGUAAUAUUAUAUAUAACUAAUCAUGUGCCAUGAGUUAUAAAUUUAGGAACAAUCAAUAUUAGUUAAUUGACACUCAUUGCUGCUCCAUCAUUAUUGGUAAUAAUUUUUCUAUGGUUUUAACUCCAAUUAAUAUAUUGGUCCUAUAAAUGCUUAAAUAUAUAAAUGACAACAAUUUGUGGAAGUUAUUUUGUAUCAUAUAUUGCAUAUGUUUAUUUGGAAAUUGGAAGACAAUGACACAUAAACUUUGGUCUCUAUGCAACUUUUCUAUUUAUAAGUUGUUUAGAUUGAUUGAGGACAAUUUUGUAAUUUCUUUCAUCUAAUUUGUUAUUCUUUUUAUAUUUAUUUUACGUGCUUUUUAUAAUUUAUGUUUAUAUAUUUGAGUUUUAAUUCUGACUAUAAUAUGUUACGAUAUCUUUAUGAUCAAUUAUUGUGUAUACAUUUGGUGCAAAUAUUUUUGAACAAAUUGUGCUUGUAUUUUAUUAUGAAUUAUGUUAAGUGUUGUAACACCCCAAAUUUUAUAAUAAAUAUUUUCAUAAUGAAAUAGAACUUUGGAUAAUUAAUUUGGUGUUAAAACUAUUUUAGAAUAUAUGUGUAUAAAUCUUGUGACUAACUUUCAUUAUAUGGGAGCUUUCUAUGAUACACUAAUUUUGUAUAUAUUUGAAUAAAUAAGUGAUAUAAAUAACAAAUAUAAUAUUUUAUAAUUUUAUAUAUUUUUUCUAUAAAUAAUAGUAUUUUAGUGUAAAUAUUUUAAAGAAUAAGAUUUUAGGCGACUCUACAUGUAUAUGUGUGUUCGCAGUUAAUGUGAUAUUUUCUUGUGUGUUUGACUGAUGUUAAGUGUGCACAUAUUUAAUUAUUUAAAAACAUAUGUUAUUUUAAUUAUUUAUUUUACAAAUAAUUAUCUUGAUAUAUUAGUAAUUUUAAUAUUUAUUUUAUUUAUUUUUAUAUAGUUGCACAUAUUUAUUUUUAUUUAUUUUAUCAUUUUGACUAUUCUAUAAAGAUGAUGUUUUUUUAUGUGAUUAUUUUGAAAGAUGUUAUAGUAGUAAUUAUAGUUAUUAUUUUGAAUAUGAGAAUUUUGGUUAAAAUUCGAUUUAUUAUUUUAAGGAUAGAUAAUAUUAUGUUAAAAUGAGUAUUUUGGAGAAACAUUUCUAGAAAAGUAAAAUAAACUAUUUAUUUAUUGUGUGCUUUUAGAAAUACUAGAAAAAUGAAUUUUGGAUAAAACGACUGUUUACACCCCUAUUUUCUACUUAUGCAUAUUAAUUUAGGCUAUUACUUGUUGGACUUUUUCUUUCCUACACCUGCGAAAUUGCUCAUUACACCUCUAUUCCUGCAAAAGACACAUACUAGACUCUCCUGCGUUGGGUCUUACAACUUGUUUUACUCAUGUAAAAUUUAUCAUGUACCCCCAAAAAAAAAUUUAAAAUGUCAAAAAUACCCUCAAUUAUUUUUUUACGAUUUCACACAAUCUAAGGUAAAUUUUUUUCACCCUUUUUUUAUUUCCGGAGUCGUAAAAAAGUUUUCAGGUAGGUUCCAUUUUUCUGGUAACUAUCGGAAUACUUGUAAUAAGAUUUCCGGUACAUAAGGUAUAUUCCGCAAAACAUAAAACGAAGUUUUCCGGUAUAAAAGGAAAAAGUUGUGUACCGGAAAACUUAAUUGACAAGUUAUCCGGUACAGAAUUGGCUUCCGGAAAACUUCAUAUACAAGUUUUUCGGUACAUAACAAUUUUUUAAAAUUUAUUUUUAAGUUUUUUGAAUUACAUUAAUUUAUUUUAAAUGUUAAUGGAUAUGGAUAAACUAUUACUAUUAAUGGAUAAAACAUGCGUCGAUACUACAAAUAUUUUUGACACAUAUCAGGUAUGAAUAAAAAUAAUUAAUAAUGUAAAAAUAUAUUAUUGUUAUUAAUUAUAAUUUAUUUUAUUUCAGAUAUUUGAUACAAGGGAUGCUGAUGUGAAUUGGGCAAAAGAAAUCGGUAUAAAAAAUAAUGUUAUUGUUAUUAUCAGAAGAUCAGAUAUAGAGACGGGAGAGAGAGGAAGGAAAAAUAAAUUACUAUUAAUUUGUGACAAAGGGAGAAAAUACAAGUGUGCUGCUAGUUCAACUCGAAGUUCAACAAAAAAGUGUGAUUGUCCUUUCAAGCUUAGAUCAAAACCGUUAAAAGAUGGUUCAGGAUGGAUAGUUAAAGUAAUUUGUGGAAUUCACAGCCAUGAAUUACUUGAUACUUUGGAGGGGAAUGCAUAUGUUGGACGCUUAAAUGAAGAAGAAAGAAAGCAUGUUCAUGACUUAACAAAAUAUAAUGGAGCAUCGAGACACAUAUUACUCUCAUUGAAAGACCGAGAUAAGAGUAAUGUUACUAAAAUAUCACAAAUAUAUAAAUAGAGGAGUAUGAUUCGAUUGAACGUGAGAGGUAAUAGAACAAAGAUGCAACAUUUAUUCACGUUAAUUGAAGAUGAAAACUAUAUGUGUCGGAAUAGAAAGUGUGAAGACACUAAUGUUAUAAAAGAUAUUUUUUUGGGUGCAUCCUGAUUCAGUGAAGACUUUGAUGUUAUGAGAGAUAUUCUUUACUCUUACACGGUAAAGUUCUAAAUCAAGAGACCGAGCUCUGAUACCAAUUGAAGUAGUUGGAAAAUACAAGACACAUGAGUUUGAAUUGUGUUUGCCAUUUUUGAAGGCUAUUUAGACUUCCUUACACAAAUUGUUCUUUAUCAAAACAUGCAACUUACUUUUAUAAAAAAAAGGUUUAGAAAGAGUAAGGUUGAAUAAUAAAUAAAUAAAUAAGAUGCGAAAAAUAGAAGAAGAUAAAAGAGACAUAUUUUUAUAAUAGUUCACAACAAAUUGUUCCUAUAUCUAGCACUCCCUAUACAAAGAGAUUUUACUUUAGCACAGUCGAUGACUUAAUCCAAUAUUUCCAUAAAUAGCAAAAAAGUAUUCUUUACUCUGCCUUUUUAGGCUUUUAGUAUUUUUCUCUAGCCUCUCCAGGUUGUCUUCAUCAAAACCUUCUUCAACUUUCUGGCAUCUUGCCAUUAAGAUUCAUGAGAGUCGUGGUACCUUUUCACGUACCUCUUAGGGGUGAGAAGGUUGUUGUCUGAUUUGACACAAAGUUUGUUUUUCGAAUUCUAACUCUCAUUGAGAGGGUGUUAUAGAUCAACUCCUCUAUCAAUAGAAGUGUGAGAGAACAAGAUAUAUGAACAAGUAGUAGAUUCUAGAUGUUGAUCAGAUGAUGCACAAUUGCUUCGUCUUCUUUAGAAAGUUGAAUUUCAUCAUAGCGUUUACAUCUUUUAUAUCAUUGAUUUCCUUCAGUGCAUACGACAUAAGUUAGAGUUAUAUGAUCAGAUACUUGAAAUGAUUAUCAGUGGCAGAGAAUCACUCGCUUGUCAAGCUUAUUAGAGGCAAUUGAUUACUUGCUUUAUCAAUCGUAUCAGAGGUAGACGAGCUGAGAAUAGCUGAAACAUAAUGUAUCACGUAUUUAUAGAGUCAGUAGAACUAAAACAUUUCUUGCGUUAUAAGAGUAAGUCAAAACACAACAAUGCUUUGCAUUGUUGGAAGCGUGUGUUACAACACUUGCGUCAAAAUCAAACAAAUGGAAUGAAGUAGAGUCUUGUUGUUCCUCUGUCUUCGUACAAUCACCAGAGGAUAUAACUUAAAUCAAGGUAACAUUUGACUUUGAACUAAUACUUGCAAUAUUAUGUCUUCCUCCAAUAGUAGACAUAGUUACUUGUAUAUUAGGAUAUAAUAUAUUCCUUAGAACUUAUGCUACUCUAAUAUGAAUAGUCAUUAAUAUAACUCUUUGUGUUUUAACUUAAUAUUCACACUUUGCAAAUACAGAUACGAGAUGAUUAUUCUUUAUUUGUUUGUUUUUGUUAUCUUAAAACAUCUACCAGAGGAUUGUAGCGAAAUCCCAUUUUGCACUAACACACCCUAUUAAAGUUUCUAACUCAUAGUUUAAGCUCACCAAAUUUUAAGUGUUCUCGUUAGUCAAUUAUUAUACAAAGGGCUUCACUCACAUCUAACAAGUCUUAAGAUGAUUUGUGGGAAAUACGAUUUUUACGUUUGAUUGACAUUAUUUUACACUCAUGAAAUCAAGCGGAGCAUAAAAUUAAAGUUACAUAAUUAACUAAAAAUUUAGGAAUAAAAACGAAGAUAAAAACGACACCAAAUUGAUAGUUAGAUAAAGUAUCACCGAUGCGUCGAAGCACAGACAAGAUCCGACGUCAACUUUAUCGAAAUAUGUGAAUCAGUAGAGCUUCUUGAAAGUUUCGACGAGAGGAAUCCAAAAACGAUAUCAUUUUUUUCCAAUGAUGAAUACGGAGGUCGAAAAAGGAAAAUAUAGUUCGUCCAAAUAAGAAAAUGUGAUUGUUUCUUAAAAGAGAAUAUGAGUAGAGUUUCUUCAAAGUUUCAACGAGAAGAAUUAAAAAACGAUGUCCAUUUUUUUCAAUGAUCAACACAGAGGCCGAAAAAGCAAAAUACAGUCCGUCCAUUUUUACAAAGAUUAUUUUUAAGACAAUAAAAGAGAAUAUGCAUACUGAUACUAUAUUAUAUUAUUAUUACCCAAGGACAAGAAAACUUGCUUGAUUGGAGAAAUUUUUUUUGGUUCUUUUUUAUUCCUAAAUGAAAUUCAAGUCCCCAUCUUUUUGUUUCUUUAACAAAAAAUUAAACUUAAUUGAAAAAAAAAUCAUAGCUGAAUUAAAAAAUUUAAUUUGAACGGACACUAUCUAAAUAAGUGUUACGUUUUAAAUCGUAAUUUCUAUAUCAAUAUUUACAUGUCCUUUCGAAGUUGCUUUUGCCAAAAGGUUUGCCUGAAUUUAAUUUGAAAUUUGACUCUUGGCCCAAAAAAAGGACAUCUUCUUUCCAUAUAUAUAUAGAGAAUACUACUUUAUUAUUUAGCAAUAUUGCGUUGUUGUAAUACUCCAAGAAGUGACAUGGGUUACUCAAAACAUGCAACUUACUUUUAUAAAAACCGAUUAGGCAGAGGAAGGUUGAAUAAUAAAAAAAUAAAUCAAUAAGAUGCGAAAAAUAGAAGAAGAUAAAGGAGACGUAUAUUUUUAUAAUAGUUCACAAAAAAUUGAUCCUAUUUCUAUUUCUCCCUUACAAAAAGAAUUUACCUCAGUAAAGUCGAGGACUUAAUCCACUAUUUCCAUAUAUAGCAUAAAGGUAUUCUUCACUCUGCCUUUUUAGGCGUUUAGUAUUUUUCUCUAGCCUCUCCAAAUUGUCUUCAUCAAAACCUUCUUCAACUUAUGGCAUCUUGCCAUUGAGGUUCACGAGAGUCGUGGUACCUUUUCACGUACCUCUUAGGGGUGAGAAGGUUGUUGCCACUAUCGGGCUAAUUUACAUCAGUUUUAGUUUGUGUCUGAUUUGACACAUAGUUUGUUUUUCGGAUUCUUACUCUCAUUGAGAGUAUGUUAUAGAUCAAGUCUUAUAUCAGUACAAGUGUGAGAGAACUAGAUAUAUGAACAAGUAGUAGAUUUAAGAUGUUGAUCAAAGGAAACACAAUUGCUUCGUCUUCUUUGGAAUGUUGAAUUUCAUCAUAGCGUUUACUUCUUUUAUAUCAUUGAUUUCCAUCAGUACAGAGAAUCACUCGUUUGUCAAGCUUAUUAAAGGCAAUUGAUUACUUGCUUUAUUAAUCGUAUCAGAGGUAGACGAGCUAAGAAUAACUGAAACAUAAUGUAUCAUGUAUUUCUAGAGUCACUAGAACUAGAACAUUGCUUGCGUUAUAAGAGUCAGUCAAAACACAACAUUGCUUUGCAUCGCUGGAAGCGUGUGUUACAACACUUGCGUCAAAAUCAAACAAAUUUAAUGAAGUAGAGUCUUGUUGUUCCUUUGUCUUCAUACAAUCACCAGAGGAUAUAACUUAAAUCAAGGUAACAUUUGACUUUGAACUAAUACUUGCAAUAUUACGUCUUCCUCAUAUAGUAGACAUAGUUACUUGUAUAUUAGGAUAUAAUAUUCUUUGUCUAUAAGAAACAUUUAGAUUAUUGUCUCUAUUUUACUUGGAACUUAUGCUACUCUAAUAUGAAUAGUCAUUAAUAUAACUCUUUGUGUUCUAACUUAAUAUGCACACUUUGCAAAUACAGAUACGAGAUGAUUAUUCUUUAUUUAUUUGUUUUUGUUAUCUUAAAACAUCUACCAGAGAAUUGUAGCGAAAUCCCAUUUUGCACUAACACACCCUAUUAAAGUUUCUAACUCAUAGUUUAGCUCACUAAAUUUUAAGUGUUCUCGUUAGUCAAUUAUUAUACAAAGGGCUUCACUCACAUCUAACAAGUCUUAAGAUGAUUUGUGGGAAAUACGAUUUUUACGUUUGAUUGACAUUAUUUUACACUCAUGAAAUCAAGCGGAGCAUAAAAUAAAAGUUACAUAAUUAACUAAAAAUUUAGGAAUAAAAACGAAGAUAAAAACGACACCAAAUCGAUAGUUAGAUAAAGUAUCACCGACGCGUCGAAGCACUGACAAGAUUCGACGUCAACUUUAUCUAAAUGUGUGAAUAAGUAGAGCUUCUUGAAAGUUUCGACGAGAGGAAUCCAAAAAUGAUAUCCUUUUUUUCCAAUGGUGAAUACAGAGGCCGACAAAGGAUAAUACAGUCCGUCCAAAUAAGAAAAUGUGACUGUUUCUUAAAAGAGAAUAUGAGUAGAGCUUCUUCAAAGUUUCAACGAGAAGAAUCAACAAACGAUGUCCAUUUUUUUCAAUGAUCAACACGGAGGCCAAAAAAGGAUAAUACAGUCCGUCCAUUUUUACAAAGAUAAUUUUUAAGACAAUAAAAGAGAAUAUGCAUACCGAAACUAUAUUAUAUUAUUUUUACCCAAGGACAAGAAAACUUGCUUGAUUGGAGAAAUUUUUUUUUGGUUUUUUUUUUAUUCCUAAAUUCAAUUCAAGUCCCCAUCUUUUUGUUUCUUUAACAAAAAAUUUAACUUAAUUGAAAAAAAAAUCAUAGCUGAAUUAAAAAAUUAAAUUUGAACGGACACUAUCUUAAAUAAGUGUUACGUUUUAAAUCGUAAUUUCUAUAUCAAUAUUUACAUGUCCUUUUGAAGGUGCUUUUGCCAAAAGGUUUGCCUUAAUUUAAUUUGAAAUUUGACUCUUGGCACAAAAUAAGGACAUCUUAAUUCCAUAUAUAUAUAGAGAAUACUACUUUAUUAUUUAGCAAUAUUGCAUUGUUGUAAUACUCCAAGAAGUGACAUGGGUUACCCCAAACAUGCAACUUACUUUUAUAAAAACGGAUUAGGCAGAAUAAGUUUGAAUAAUAAAUAAAUAAAUAAGAUGCGAAAAAUAGAAGAAGAUAAAUGAGACGUAUAUUUUUAUAAUAGUUCACAACAAAUUGUUCCUAUUUCUAGUUCCCUUUACAAAGAGAUUUUACUUCAGUAAAGUCGGGGACUUAAUCCACUAUUUCCAUAUAUAGCAUAAAAGUAUUAUUUACUCUACCUUUUUAGGCUUUUAGUAUUUUUCUCUAGCCUCUCCAGGUUGUCUUAAUCAAAAUCUUCUUCAACUUUAUGGCAUCUUGCGAUUGAGGUUCACGAGAGUCGUGGUACCUUUUCACGUACCUCUUAGGGGUGAGAAGGUUUUUGCCACUAUCGGGCUAAUUUACAUCAGUUUUAGUUUGUGUCUGAUUUGACACAAAGUUUGUUUUUCGGAUUCUAACUCUCAUUGAGAGUAUGUUAUAGAUCAAGUCCUAUAUUAUUACAAGUGUGAGAGAACUAGAUAUAUGAACAAGUAGUAGAUUCAAGAUGUUGAUCAAAGGAAAAACAAUUGCUUCGUCUUCUUUGGAAUGUUGAAUUUCAUCAUAGCAUUUACUUCUUUUAUAUCAUUGAUUUCCUUCAGUGCAGAGAAUCACUCGUUUGUCAAGCUUAUUAAAGGCAAUUGAUUACUUGCUUUAUCAAUCGUAUUAGAGGUAGACGAGCUGAGAUUAACUGAAACAUAAUGUAUCAUGUAUUUUUAGAGUCACUAGAACUAGAACAUUGCUUGUGUUAUAAGAGUCAGUCAAAACGCAACAUUGCUUUGCGUCGAUGGAAGCGUGUGUUACAACACUUUGGUCAAAAUCAAACAAAUUGAAUGAAGUAGAGUCUUGUUAUUCCUCUGUCUUCGUCCAAUCACCAGAGGAUAUAACUUAAAUCAAGGUAACAUUUGAGUUUGAACUAAUACUUGCAAUAUUAUGUCUUCCUCCAAUAGUAGACAUAGUUACUUGUAUAUUAGGAUAUAAUAGUCUGUAUAUAAGAAACACUUAGAUUAUUGUCUCUAUUUUACUUGGAACUUAUGUUACUCUAAGAUGAAUAGUCAUUAAUAUAACUCUUUGUGUUCUAACUUAAUAUGCACACUUUGCAAAUACAGAUGCAUGACGAUUAUUCUUUAUUUGUUUGUUUUUGUUAUCUUAAAACAUCUACCAGAGGAUUGUAGCAAAAACCCAUUUUGGACUAACACACCCUAUAAAAGUUUCUAACUCAUAUUUUAAACUCACUAAAUUUUAAGUGUUCUCGUUAGUCGAUUAUUAUACAAAGGACUUCAGUCACAUGUAGUAAGUCUUAAGAUGAUUUGUGGGAAAUACGAUGUUUACGUUCCAUUGACUUAUUUUACACUCAUGAAUUCAAACUCAAGCUCACAUCAUACAUUAAUUGACACUUUAGUAAAAUAUGUGAAUCACCAAAAGUUCCACACCAACGCCAGCCCUACAACGUGCAAUAGAUGUGUCUGAAUGUGUCUGAAAUCAACGAAGAAUUCAUAGGAUCACCAAAAUACGACUGGAAAAACAAGCAGAGCAUAAAAUCAAAGUUACAUAAUUAACUAAAAAUUAAGGAGUAAGAACGAAGAUAAAAACGGCACCAAACAGAUAGUUAGAUAAAGUAUCACUGACGCGCCGAGGCACAUACAAGAUCUGACGUCAACUUUAUCGAAUUAUGCGAAUCAGUAGAGCUUCUUGAAAGUUUCGACGAGAGGAAUCCAAAAACGAUAUCAUUUUUUUUCCAAUGAUGAAUACGGAGGUCGAAAAAGGAAAAUAUAGUCCGUCUAAAUAAGAAAAUGUGAUUGUCUCUUAAAAGAGAAUAUGAGUAGAGCUUCUUCAAAGUUUCAACGAGAAGAAUCAAAAAACGCUGUCCAUUUUUUUCAAUGAUCAACACGAAGGCCAAAAAAGAAAAUUAAGUCCGUCCAUUUUUACAAAGAUUAUUUUUUAGACAAUAAAAGAGAAUAUGCAACCGAAACUAUAUUAUAUUAUUUUUACCCAAGAACAAGAAAACUUGCUUGAUUGGAGAAAUUUUUUUUUUUUUGGUGUUUUUUUUAUUCCUAAAUUAAAUUUAAGUCCCCAUCUUUUUGUUUCUUUAAUAAAAUUUUAACUUAAUUAAUAACAAAAACAAAAAAAUUCAUAGCUAAAUUAAAAAAUUAAAUUUGAACGGACACUAUCUAAAUAAGUGUUACGUUUUAAAUCGUAAUUUCUAUAUCAAUAUUUACAUGUCCUUUUGAAGUUGCUUUUGCCAAAAGGUUUGCCUUAAUUUAAUUUGAAAUUUGACUCAUGGCCCAAAAAAAGGACAUCUUCCUUCCAUAUAUAUAGAGAAUACUACUUUAUUAUUUAGCAACAUUGCAUUGUAAUCCUCCAAGAAGUGACAUGGCUUACUCAAAUUCAUACGUGUUUCUUGGUUUGGGACUUUUUAUUAUUCUCUCUUCUCAAGUUCUAGCUCAAGUUCCUCUUCUUCUUCCUCCUCCACCUCCACCUCCUCCUCCUACAAUUAUUUGUAAGUCAUGCUAGACUAUAAUGUAUUUUUCUACGCAAAUGCACAUGUUUAAAAAAAUAUGAUUCAAUAUAUGUAUAAAUAUAACACACAUUCUAAUGAAACAUAUUAAAAUGAAAUUAAUAUAGUACUUAAGUUCUAGUUCAAUGGGUAAAUGGAAAUAAUGUUAGGUUAAACAUUUUGUCUUAGAUUUUAACCUAAGACUUCAGAGUUGCGUGUGUUAAUUAUGAUGGAAUUUACCAUUUCUUCUAAAAUAAAAUAAAAAUGAUAUUAUUAUAAAACUAGGACCCUCAAAUUAAACUUAUUAAAAUAAUAUUAAUAUUAAACUUAUAACUUUAUAAUUAUUUGGUUUCAAUUUUAGAUCCUGAAAUUGUAUUAUAUUUUAUUUUAACUCUUAUAAGUUUUUUUUUAUUUGAAUUAAGUCCUUGCAAAUAUAAAAAAUGUCGUUUUAAAUUCUUAAGUUAGUUUAUGGGAUCACAUGGUGCGACAUUAUAGGAUCACAUUUGAUCUCAAGGACUAAAUAUAAACUUUUUAAAAUUUGCUGAGAUUAAAAUCAAACAAAAACACUUAGAAUGACUAAAACCAAAAAAUAAUAUAACUGCAUGAACUAAAAUCAUAUUCAGACCUCAAACUUUUAUUAAGGUAUACGAUUUUUUAAGAAGUCAGAAAAUCAUACUUAUAAGGUUUAUAUAUAAAUUUUUAUUUCACUUUUACAUUUCUUGAUAUAAUGCAUUCUCCAAUAGAUAUUUUAAACACAAUAUGGAAACCCCAAUGACAACUGUGCAUAGUUAUGCUGGCCUGAUGCAUGAAGUGACACUUCUAGAAGCUGAAGCUGAUCGGAUGACUUUCCGUGCAAAUUUGAUAAAGAAGAAUGUUGCUAAAUCUAUUCAUCAAAGCCGUAAAUUUCUAAAUCAUUUAUUUGAUGAAGAAGAUAAAGUUUCCAAAAGUAAUGAGGAAGAUAAAGUUUCCAUAACUGAUAAGGAAGAUAAAGUUUCCAGAAAUGACAAGGAAGACAAAAUUUCAAAUAAUGAAGAGAAAAACAAAGUUUUAAAAAAUAAGGAGAAAGAGAAGGUUUUUAAAAGUGACAAGGAAGAUAAAGUUUUCAAAAAUGAUAAUAAAAAUACAAUUACAAAUUAAAAAUAAUGAAAAAAAAAUGAAGUUUACAAAUGUGACGAAGAAGAUAAACUUUCUUUAAUAUUUCCCAUGUAUUAAUAGCAUGCAAGAAUGUAUAUAUUAACUGUAUAAAUAAAAGGGUGAAAGUAGACAUUAUACUUAUAACUUGCCAUAUAUAUACAUCAAAACAUGAGUUAUAUAUAGUUCAUAUCAAUAUUUGGGUAAUGAUAUAUUGAUAUCAGAUGUCAAACAUUACAAACUUACACCUUUAAUACUUUGAAGAAGAUGAAUUAAAUUAUAUCAAUCCAAUUUGUCGAAUAAUCUUGAAUUAUGUAGAUGAUUUUAUAUACAAAACUUCAAACAAUUUAGAAACUCGUUGGUAAAAGUUUUAGUAAUAGAUAUUGUAACAUUCUGAUUUAAUUCAAACUAUUAUUAAUGAAAUUACAAACGUGAAAAAUGUGGAUUAUUAUUAUUUAAAACAAGGCUAAAAUAAAAUAAUUAUUUGAUCUAAACCAAAUAAUAAAUUUUCUUUUAUUGACUUCCACAAUAAAAACAUAGUCAUUACAAUUAAUUACAAACAAACAAGUAGUUGUGUAAAUAAAAGAACGAAAUCCUAAAGUCAAGACUCUUGGGUUUUUUCUACCCAAGAGAAAACCUAGUUGGUCACAAUUUUGAAUGCUUGUGAAAAAUUCUCAAGGCUAACACCAGUGUUAAAAAGACAAAUCAGAGCCUCCAAUUACACUAUCGUUUUACAAUUUUAAUAAUUUCCACAUAAUUUAUAUCCUUUUUUUUUAUUCAGAUAACUUAUAUACUUUCAUAAAAAUAGAGUUUGUGAUUAUCAAAUAUAUAAAUUUUCUCUUAAAUCAUAGUUAAUAUUAUAGACCCGGAACAGUUGUAAAAUGGUGAUUAGUUCUACUUUGAUUAGUAAUAAUUUUUUCAUCUCUAAAAAAAUUGUUAAGUUUUUAUGAUUAAAUUUUUGCAAAACAUUGUUUCUAUCAUAUUAUUUCUAGAGUAAAAAUUCUUAUUUAAUUAAAAACUCUAUAAUUUUUUUUCAAUAUGAUGUAUUCUUCUUAUAACCUUACAUAUUUACAAAAUUAAUACAUUAAUAAAUUAUUUAUAUCUUAUUCAAAAAAAUUUAAACCCCAUGCAAAACAUGGGUAAUAGUCUAAUAAUAUAUUAAAAUAGACUCCUAAAUACUAUUGUAACACAUCAUCUGAUAUUGUGUCAUUUCAUUCAAUAAUUGUCACCACAACAAAAAUUUGAUGUGCCAUAUGUAAUAUUAUAUAUAACUAUUCAUGUGCCAUCAUUAUUGGUAAUAAUUUUUCUAUGGUUUUAACUCCAAUUAAUAUAUUGGUCCUUUCAAUGCUUAAAUAUAUAAAUGACAACAAUUUGUGGAAGUUAUUUUGUAUCAUAUAUUGCUUAUGUUUAUUUGGAAAUUGGAAGACAAUGACACAUAAACUUUGGUCUCUAUGCAACUUUUCUAUUUAUAAGUUGUUUAGAUUGAUUGGGGACAAUUUUGUAAUUUCUAGCAUCUAAUUUUUUAUUCUUUUUAUAUUUAUUUUACGUGCUUUUUAUAAUUAAUGUUUAUAUAUUUGAGUUUUAAUUCUAACUAUAAUAUGUUAUGAUAUCUUUAUGAUCAAUUAUUGUGUAUACAUUUGGUGCAAAUACUUUUGAACAAAUUGUGCUUAUAUUUUAUUAUGAAUUAAGUUACGUGUUGUAAUACCCCAAAUUUUAUAAUAAAUAUUUUCUUAAUGAAAUAGAAUUUUGGAUAAUUAAUUUGGUGUUAAAACUAUUUUAGAAUAUAUGUGGAUAAAUCUUGUGACUAACUUUCAUUAUAUGGGAGCUUUCUAUGAUACGCUAAUUUUGUAUAUAUUUGAAUAAAUAAGUGAUAUAAAUAACAAAUAUAAUAUUUUAUAAUUUUAUAUAUUUUUAUAUUUUUUUCUAUAAAUAAUAGUAUUUUAGUGUAAAUAUUUUAAAGAAUAAGAUUUUAGGCGACUCUACAUGUAUAUGUGUGUUCGCAGUUAAUGUGAUAUUUUCUUGUAUGUUUGACUGAUGUUAAGUGUGCACAUAUUUAAUUAUUUAUAAACAUAUGUUAUUUUAAUUAUUUAUUUUACAAAUAAUUAUCUUGAUAUAUUAAUAUUUUUAAUAUUUAUUUUCUUUAUUUUUAUAUAGUUGCACAUAUUUAUUUUUAUUUAUUUUAUCAUUUUGACUAUUCUAUAAAGAUAAUGUUUUUUUAUGUGAUUAUUUUGAAAGAUGUUAUAGUAGUAAUUAUAGUUAUUAUUUUGAAUAUGAGCGUUUUGGUUAAAAUUCGAUUUAUUAUUUUAAGGAUAGAUAAUAUUAUGUUAAAAUGAGUAUUUUGGAGAAAAGUUUCUAGAAAAGUAAAAUAAACUAUUUAUUUAUUGUAGGCUUUUAGAAAUACUAGAAAAAUGAAUUUUGGACAAAACGACUGUUUACACCCCUAUUUUCUACUUAUGCAUAUUACUUUAGGCUAUUACUUGUUGGACUUUCUCUUUCCUACACCUGCGAAAUUGCUCAUUACACCUCUAUUCCUGCAAAAGACACAUACUAGACUCUCGUGUGUUGGGUCUUACAGCCUGUUUUACUCAUGUAAAAUUUAUCAUGUAACCCCAAAAAAAAAAAUUAAAAUGUCAAAAAUACCCUCAAUUAUUUUUUUAUGAUUUCACACAAUCUAAGGUAAAUUUUUUUCACCCUUUUUUUAUUUCCGGAGUCGUAAAAAAGUUUUCCGGUAUGUUCAAUUUUUCUGGUAACUAUCGGAAUACUUGUAAUAAGAUUUCGGGUACGUAAGGUAUAUUCCGGAAAACAUAAAACGAAGUUUUCCGGUACAAAAGGGAAAAGUUGUGUACCGGAAAACUUAAUUGACAAGUUAUCCGGUACAAAAUUGGCUUCCGGAAAACUUCAUAUACAAGUUUUUCGGUACAUAACUAUUUUUUAAAAUUUAUUUUUAAGUUUUUUGAAUUUUAUUAAUUUAUUUUAAAUGUUAACGGAUAUGGAUAAACUAUUACUAUUAAUGGAUAAAACAUGCGUCGAUACUACAAAUAUUUUUGACACAUAUCAGGUAAGAAUAAAUAUAAUUAAUAUUGUAAAAAUAUAUUAUUGUUAUUAAUUAUAAUUUAUUUUAUUUCAGAUAUUUGAUACAAGGGAUGCUGUUGUGAAUUGGGUAAAAGAAAUCGGUAUAAAAAUUAAUGUUAUUGUUAUUAUCAGAAGAUCAGAUAUAGAGACGGGAGAGAGAGUAAGGAGAAAUAAAUUACUAUUAAUUUGUGACAAAGGGAGAAAAUACAAGUGUGCUGCUACUUCAACUCGAAGUUCAACAAAAAAGUGUGAUUGUCCUUUCAAGCUUAGAUCAAAACCAUUAAAAGAUGGUUCAGGAUGGAUAGUUAAAGUAAUUUGUGGAAUUCACAUCCAUGAAUUACCUGAUACUUUGGAGGGGCAUGCAUAUGUUGGACGCUUAGAUGAAGAAGAAAGAAAGCAUGUUCAUGACUUAACAAAAUAUAAUGGAGCAUCGAGACACAUAUUACUCUCAUUGAAAGACCGAGAUAAGAGUAAUGUUACUAAAAUAUCAUAAAUAUAUAAAUAGAGGAGUAUGAUUCGAUUGAACGUGAGAGGUAAUAGAACAAAGAUGCAACAUUUAUUCACGUUAAUUGAAGAUGAAAAAUAUGUGUGUCGGAAUAGAAAGUGUGAAGACACUGAUGUUAUGAAAGAUAUUUUUUUGGGCACAUCUUGAUUCAGUGAAGACUUUGAUGUUAUGAGAGAUAUUCUUUACUCUUACACGGUAAAGUUCUAAAUCAAAAGACUGAGCUCUGAUACCAAUUGAAGUAGUUGGAAAAUACAAGACACGUGAGUUUGAAUUGUGUUUGCCAUUUUUGAAGGCUAUUUAGACAUCCUUACACAAAUUGUUCUUUAUCAAAACAUGCAACUUACUUUUAUAAAAAAAGGUUUAGACAGAGUAAGGUUGAAUAAUAAAUAAAUAAAUAAAUAAAUAAAUAAAUAAAUAAAUAAGAUGCGAAAAAUAGAAGAAGAUAAAAGAGACAUAUUUUUAUAAUAGUUCACAACAAAUAGUUCCUAUAUCUAGCACUCCCUUUACAAAGAGAUUUUACCUUAGCACAGUCGAUGACUUAAUCCACUAUUUCCAUAAAUAACAUAAAAGUAUUCUUUACUCUGCCUUUUUAGGCUUUUAGUAUUUUUCUCUAGCCUCUACAGGUUGUCUCCAUCAAAACCUUCUUCAACUUUCUGGCAUCUUGCCAUUAAGAUUCAUGAGAGUCGUGGUACCUUUUCACGUACCUCUUAGGGGUGAGAAGGUUGUUGUCUGAUUUGACACAAAGUUUGUUUUUCGAAUUCUAACUCUAAUUGAGAGGGUGUUACAGAUCAACUCCUCUAUCAGUACAAGUGUCAGAAAACAAGAUAUAUGAACAAGUAGUAGAUUCUAGAUGUUGAUCAGAUGAUGCACAAUUGCUUCGUCUUCUUUGGAAUGUCGAAUUUCAUCAUAGCAUUUACUUCUUUUAUAUCAUUGAUUUCCUUCAGUGCAUACGACAUAAGUUAGAAUUAUAUGAUCAGAAACUUGAAAUGAUUAUCAGUGGCAGAGAAUCACUCGCUUGUCAAGCUUAUUAGAGGCAAUUGAUUACUUGCUUUAUCAAUCGUAUCAGAGGUAGACGAGCCGAGAAUAGCUGAAACAUAAUGUAUCAUGUAUUUAUAGAGUCACUAGAACUAGAACAUUGCUUGUGUUAUAAGAGUCAGUCAAAACACAACAUUGCUUUGCGUCGUUGGAAGCGUGUGUUACAACACUUGCGUCAAAAUCAAACAAAUUGAAUGAAGUAGAGUCUUGUUGUUCCUCAGUCUUCGUACAAUCACCAGAGGAUAUAACUUAAAUCAAGGUAACAUUUGACUUUGAACUAAUACUUGCAAUAUUACGUUUUCCUCCAAUAGUAGACAUAGUUACUUGUGUAAUAGGAUAUAAUAUUCUUUGUGCAUAAGAAACACUUAGAUUAUUGUCUCUAUUUUACUUAGAACUUAUGCUACUCUAAUAUGAAUAGUCAUUAAUAUAACUCUUUGUGUUCUAACUUAAUAUGCACACUAUGCAAAUACAGACACGAGAUGAUUAUUCUUUAUUUGUUUGUUUUUGUUAUCUUAAAAUAUCUAUCAGAGGAUUGUAGCGAAAUCCCAUUUUGCACUAACACACCCUAUUAAAGUUUCUAACUCAUAGUUUAAGCUCACCAAAUUUUAAGUGUUCUCGUUAGUCAAUUAUUAUACAAAGGGCUUCACUCACAUCUAACAAGUCUUAAGAUGAUUUGUGGGAAAUACGAUUUUCACGUUUGAUUGACAUUAUUUUACACUCAUGAAAUCAAGCGGAGCAUAAUAUUAAAGUAACAUAAUUAACUAAAAAGUUAGGAAUAAAAACGAAGAUAAAAACGACACCAAAUCGAUAGUUAGAUAAAGUAUCACCGAUGCGUCGAAGCACUGACAAGAUCCGACGUCAACUUUAUCGAAAUAUGCGAAUCAGUAGAGCUGAUUGAAAGUUUCGACGAGAGGAAUCCAAAAACGAUAUCAUUUUUUUCCAAUGAUGAAUACGGAAGUCGAAAAAGGAAAGUAUUGUCCGUCUAAAUAAGAAAAUGUGAUUGUUUCUUAAAAGAGAAUAUGAGUAUAGCUUCUUCAAAGUUUCAACGAGAAAAAUCAAAAAACGAUGUCCAUUUUUUUCAAUGAUCAACACAUAGGCCGAAAAAAAAAAUACAGUCCGUCCAUUUUUACAAAGAUUAUUUUUAAGACAAUAAAAGAGAAUAUGCAUACCGAAACUAUAUUAUAUUAUUUUUACCCAAGGACAAGAAAACAUGCAUGAUUGGAGAAAAUUUUUUUGGUUUUUUUUUAUUCCUAAAUUAAAUUCAAGUCCCCAUCUUUUUGUUUCUUUAACAAAAAAUUUAACUUAAUUGAAAAAAAAAAAUCAUAGCUGAAUUAAAAAAUUAUAUUUGAACGGACACUAUCUAAAUAAGUGUUACGUUUUAAAUCGUAAUUUCUAUAUCAAUAUUUACAUGUCCUUUUGAAGUUGCUUUUGCCAAAAGGUUUGCCUUAAUUUAAUUUGAAAUUUGACUCUUGGCCCAAAAAAAGGACAUCUUCUUUCCAUAUACAUAGAGAAUACUACUUUAUUAUUUAGCAAUAUUGCAUUGUUGUAAUACUACAAGAAGUGACAUGGGUUACUCAAAACAUGCAAGUUACUUUUAUAAAAAAGGAUUAGGCAGAGUAAGGUUGAAUAAUAAAUAAAUAAAUAAAUAAAUAAAUAAAUAAGAUGCGAAAAAUAGAAGAAGAUAAAGGAGACGUAUAUUUUUAUAAUAGUUCACAACAAAUUGUUCCUAUUUCUAUUUCUCCCUUUCAAAAAGAUUUUACCUCAGUAAAGUCGAGGACUUAAUCCAUUAUUUCCAUAUAUAGCAUAAAGGUAUUCUUUACUCUGCCUUUUUAGGCUUUUAGUAUUUUUCUCUAGCCUCUCCAGAUUGUCUUCAUCAAAACCUUCUUCAACUUAUGGCAUCUUGCCAUUGAGGUUCACGAGAGUCGUGGUACCUUUUCACGUACCUCUUAGGGGUGAGAAGGUUGUUGUCACUAUCGGGCUAAUUUACAUCAGUUUUAGUUUGUGUCUGAUUUGACACAAAGUUUGUUUUUCGGAUUCUAACUCUCAUUGAGAGUAUGUUAUAGAUCAAGUCAUUUAUCAGUACAAGUGUGAGAGAACUAGAUAUAUGAACAAGUAGUAGAUUCAAGAUGUUGAUCAAAGGAAGCACAAUUGCUUCGACUUCUUUUGAAUGUUGAAUUUCAUCAUAGCGUUUACUUCUUUUAUAUCAUUGAUUUCCUUCAGUGCAUACGACAUAAGUUAGAGUUAUAUGAUCAGAAACUUGAAAUGAUUAUCAGUGGCAGAGAAUCACUCGUUUGUCAAGCUUAUUAAAGGCAAUUGAUUACUUGCUUUAUCAAUCGUAUCAGAGGUAGACGAGCUGAGAAUAACUGAAACAUAAUGUAUCAUGUAUUUUUAGAGUCACUAGAACUAGAACAUUGCUUGCGUUAUAAGAGUCAGUCAAAACGCAAUAUUGCUUUGCGUCGUUGGAAGCGUGUGUUACAACACUUGCGUCAAAAUCAAACAAAUUGAAUGAAGUAGAGUCUUGUUGUUCCUUUGUCUUCGUCCAAUCACCAGAGGAUAUAACUUAAAUCAAGGUAACAUUUGACUUUGAACUAAUACUUGCAAUAUUACAUCUUCCUCCCAUAGUAGACAUAGUUACUUGUAUAUUAGGAUAUAAUAGUCUGUAUAUAAGAAACAUUUAGAUUAUUGUCUCUAUUUUACUUGGAUCUUUUGCUACUCUAAGAUGAAUAGUCAUUAAUAUAACUCUUUGUGUUCUAACUUAAUAUGCACACUUUGCAAAUACAGAUGCAUUAUGAUUAUUCUUUAUUUGUUUGUUUUUGUUAUCUUAAAACAUCUACCAGAGGAUUGUACCAAAAACCCAUUUUGGACUAACACACCCUAUAAAAGUUUCUAACUCAUAUUUUAAGCUCACUAACUUUUAAGUGUUCUCGUUAGUCAAUUAUUAAACAAAGGGCUUCAGUCACAUGUAGUAAGUCUUAAGAUGAUUUGUGGGAAAUACGAAUUUUCCGUUCCAUUGACUUAUUUUAAACUCAUGAAUUCAAACUCACGCUCACAUCAUACAUUAAUUGACACUUUCAUAAAAUAUGUGAAUCACCAAAAGUUCCAAGCAACGCCAGCCCUACAACGUGCAAUAGAUGUGUCUGAAUGUCUCUGAAAUCAGCGAAGAAUUCAUAGGAUCACAAAAAUCGGUCUGGUAAAUCAAGCGGAGCAUAAAAUCAAAGUUACAUAAUUAACUAAAAAUUUAGCAGUAAGAACGAAGAUAAAAACGACACCAAAUCGAUAGUUAGAUAUAGUAUCACUGACGCGUCGAGGCACUGACAAGAUCUGACGUCAACUUUAUCAAAAUAUGCGAAUCAGUAGAGCUUCUUAAAAGUUUCGACGAGAGGAAUCUAACAAUAUCAUUUUUUCCAAUGAUGAAUACGGAGGUCGAAAAAGGAAAAUAUAGUCCGUCUAAAUAAGAAAAUGUGAUUGUUUCUUAAAAGAGAAUAUGAGUAAAGCUUCUUCAAAGUUUCAAUGAGAAUAAUCAAAAAACGAUGUCCAUUUUUUUCAAUGAUCAACACGGAGGCCGAAUAAGGAAAAUACAGUCUGUCCAUAUUUACAAAGAUUAUUUUUUAGACAAUAAAAGAGAAUAUGCAAUCGAAACUAUAUUAUAUUAUUUUUACCCAAGGACAAGAAAACUUGCUUGAUUGGAGAAUUUUUUUUUUUUGGUGUUUUUUUUAUUCCUAAAUUAAAUUUAAGUCCCCAUCUUUUUGUUUCUUUAAUAAAAUUUUAACUUAAUUGAAAACAAAAACAAAAAAAAUUCAUAGCUGAAUUAAAAAAAUUAAAUUUGAACGGACACUAUCUAAAUAAGUGUUACGUUUUAAAUCGUAAUUUCUAUAUCAAUAUUUACAUGUCCUUUUGAAGUUGCUUUUGCCAAAAGGUUUGCCUUAAUUUAAUUUGAAAUUUGACUCUUGGCCCAAAAAAAGGACAUCUUCUUUCCAUAUACAUAGAGAAUACUACUUUAUUAUUUGGCAACAUUGCAUUGUAAUCCUCCAAAGAAGUGACAUGGCUUACUCAAAUUCAUAUAUGUUUCUUGGUUUGGGAUUUUUUAUUAUUCUCUCUUCUCAAGUUCUAGAUCAAGUUCCUCUUCUUCCUCCUCCACCUCCACCUCCACCUCCACCUCCUCCUCCUACAAUUAUUUGUAAGUCAUGCUAGACUAUAAUGUAUUUUUCUACGUCAAAUUCACAUGUUUUAAAAAUUAUGAUUCAAUACAUGUAUAAAUAUAAGACACAUUCUAAUGAGACAUAUUAAAAUGAAAUUAAUAUAGUACUUAAGUUCUAGUUCAAUGGGUAAAUGGAAAGAAUGUUAGGUUAAACAUUUUGUCUCAGAUUUUAACCUAAGACUGCAGAGCUGCGUGUGUUAAUUAUGAUGGAAUUUACCAUUUCUUCUAAAAUAAAAUAAAAAUGAUAUUAUUAUAAAACUAAGACCCUCAAAUUAAACUUAUUAAAAUAAUAUUAAUAUUAAACUUAUAACUUUAUAAUUAUUUGAUUUCAAUAUGAUUUUAGUUCUUGAAAUUGUAUUGUUUUUUAUUUUAACUCUUAUAAGUUUUUUUUUUUUUGAAUUAAGUCCUUGCAGAUAUAAAAAAUGUCGUUUCAAAUUCUUAAGUUAGUUUAUGGGAUCACAUGGUACGACACUAUAGGAUCACAUUUGAGCUCAAAGACUAAAUAUAGAUUUUUUAAAAUUUGCUGAGAUUAAAAUCAAACAGAAACACUUAGAAGGACUAAAACCAAAAAAUAAUAUAACUGCAUGAACUAAAAUUAUAUUCAGACCUCAAACUUUUAUUAAGGUAUACGAUUUUUUAAGAAGUUAGAAAAUCAUACUUAUAAGGUUUAUAUAUAAAUUUUUAUUUCACUUUUACAUUUCUUGAUAUAAUGCAUUCUCCAAUAGAUAUUUUAAACACAAUAUGGAAACCCCAAUGACAACUGUGCAUAGUUAUGCUGGCCUGAUGCAUGAAGUGACACUUCUAGAAGCUGAAGCUGAUCGGAUGACUUUCCGUGCAAAUUUGAUAAAGAAGAAUGUUGCUAAAUCUAUUCAUCAAAGCCGAAAAUUUCUAAAUCAUUUAUUUGAUGAAGAAGAUAAAGUUUCCAAAAGUAAUGAGGAAGAUAAAGUUUCCAUAACUGAUAAGAAAGAUAAAGUUUCCAGAAAUGACAAGGAAGACAAAAUUUCAAAUAAUGAAGAGAAAAACAAAGUUUUAAAGAAUGAGGAGAAAGAGAAUGUUUUUAAAAGUGACAAGGAAGAUAAAGUUUUCAAAAAUGAUAAUAAAAAUACAAUUACAAAUUAAAAAUAAUGAAAAAAAAAAUGAAGUUUACAAAUGUGACGAAGAAGAUAAACUUUCUUUAAUAUUUCCCAUGUAUUAAUAUAGCAUGCAAAAAUUUAUAUAUUAACUGUAUAAAUAAAAGGGUGAAAGUAGACAUUAUACUUAUAACUUGCCAUAUAUAUACAUCAAAACUUGAGUUAUAUAUAGUUCAUAUCAAUAUUUGGGUAAUGAUAUAUUGAUAUAUAUCAGAUGUCAAACAUUACAAACUUACACCUUCAAUACCUCUUUGAAGAAGACGAAUUAAAUUAAAUCAAUCCAAUUGUUGAAUAUUCUUGAAUUAUGUUGAUGAUCUUAUAUACAAAACUUCAAACAAUUUAGAAACUCGUUGGUAAAAGUUUUAGUAAUAGAUAUUGUAACAUUCUGAUUUAAUUCAAACUAUUAUUAACGAAAUUACAAACAUGAAAAAUGUGGAUUAUUAUUAUUAUUUAAAACAAGGCUAAAAUAAAAUAAUUAUUUGAUCUAAACCAAAUAAUAAAUUUUCUUUUAUUGACUUCCACAAUAAAAACAUAGUCAUUACGAUUCCAAACAAACAAGUAGUUGUGUAAAUAAAAGAACGAAAUCCUACAGUCAAGACUCUUGGAUUUUUUCUACCCAAGAGAAAACCUAGUUGGUCACAAUUUUGAAUGCUUGUGAAGAAUUCUCAAGGCUAACACCAGUGUUAAAAAGAAAAAUCAGAGCCUCCAAUUACACUAUCAUUUCACAAUUUUAAUAAUUUCCACAUAAUUUAUAUCCUUUUUUUUAUUCAGAUAACUUAUAUACUUUCAUAAAAAUAGAGUUUG
rnacentral:lncRNA from 1 species